CGCUCCCCCAAGGACCGCGGCGGCGAUCUCCAGAUGUGCCUCCCACCCCCCCAAGGAUCUCUCCUCUGGACUUAGAGAGAAGAGGAAAAGGCAGAUUUUGAGAAAUGAAAAUUAUUUAAGGAUGUCCCUGCUGCCUCUCUCUGCUGCCCUCCUCUGUAAUACCGAAGCACUUACAAAAAAUAAUACAAAGUAAAUAAAUAAUUUAAAAAGAGAAACUCUCGCGGCCAGAAGAGCUGCUGAGAAGCACUGGAAGACCCGUUCCUGGCUCCGUGGAGAAGAGGCACAAGGCCCCUGGUCUGGGAGUGGCUGCUGGGGGAGAUGGGUGCCAGGCUGCACUCACCUGCCAGGGGGGCCAUGAACCUCUGCCCACCUCUUCACCCCACCUGGCCAUGGGCUGGCAAAGGACACGUGCUACAAGUCUCAUCACCCAAGACAAGAAGAAGGACCAGGCAGAACUAAAGCACCUCAGACUUGGGUAUGGGCACCAAGCUUAGACACUCCCCAUGAAACAGAUGCAGCCACAAACAGGAUCAACAUCCACCCACCAAGUACCUGAACUUGAAGCUAGACUGGAAUUGUGUUACACUCAGAGCACAGUCUGACUCAGCAAGGCAGGUUUUACUCAAAAAACUGACCUCAGAAUGUGGCCAAAAAUCAAGGUUUCCACCAUAAAUCACACCUCCCAUAUCCAUGACAUACUCUGUUACUGUGUAUGCCAAGGAUUUAUUUUCUUUAAUCCACACAUAUGACUUAGCUGUGGUUGCUUGCUGGGACAGUGGUUUUGCAUCCCCCAGUUUCUAUAGGCAUAAGAUUUUAUUCAUAGCUUUGCUCUGAAGUGUGUUGCCUUUUGUUUCCUUGCUUGCUACAACAGAUGAAACUUUCAAGUGACAAUAAAAGAAAAUCUGAAACAAGGGGUGUUAUGAUUGGAGGAGAUAAAGAGCCUCACAGUCCCCUGGCCUCAAGAAAACCUUUUCAGAAGAGUACAAGAUACACACCCAGGUAUUUGUAAGAAGCUCAGAUACACAAACAAACCUAUCUCAAAACCCUCUGAAGGCCAAGGAGCUCAGAUGACCCAUCCAAACCAGCUUUGAGGACUUAAGGGACAAAAAGCAGCCACAGAGCUCUUCAGAAAUCACACAAAAUCUCUCUUUUUCUUAACCAUUUUUUUCCUCAGCUGUUUUUCUGUGUUUCUCAGUCAUGCAUUCCUCACUGAGAAACAUUCUAGCCCAGCCUAAGUGUUGAAGAUAAAGUUUUAGUCUAUUAAAACCAGAAAAGUCC